rnacentral:lncRNA from 10 species
CAGAGAAGUAAAGUACCUUGUCCAAGAUGACAAGCUAAUGAGAAGAGAUGCUGGGGUUCAGACUCUGGCAGUCCAGCCUCUGAGCCCAUUCAUAGGUCUCUACCUCCCCUCUCCCUACCUCUCUCUUAGUGAGAGCCUGCCUAUCCUUCAAACCUUGAUGAAACUGAGCAAUCCUAAAACAGUGGCAGAGGGUGAGGAAGAAAGGCCGGAAAUACAUUUUUCUGCUGGUGGGUGAUUUCCUUCUUACUACAAGCCUGAUUUCUUACAGCAUUUUAAAGAUUCUUCCUCAGUCAGACACUCUCACACACCAUUUGAUGAGCAGAAGACCACCAUCUUUGCAGAGCGCACUUGAACAGAAUCCAGCGGCGUCCUUCGUGUAUUUGACACCCACAACUGAUCAUCUAUCAACCUCUCUCCUCUAGGACUCCAGCUUGGCACCCACUCCUGAUACCCCUGAUGUCUCGUAAGAGGAACCUCGCUGGACAUAUGGUGUUGCAGUUUGAAAGAAAAUGGGCAGCCUUACCGGGUAGUUUUUAUCAAGAUAAUGAAUUUGCCAUGUUCUUGGCUUCACCUCUUACCCUCAGAAAUCUGAUUCCCUCAACUAACAAGAAAGUAUAUGACUUUACAGUCACAAGAUUUGCUUAUAUAUCGGAUGCCAAUUCAUUUGCUGACCAUGAGAAACGCAGCUCUCGUCAGGACUAGAAUACCAUCAACACAGCCUGUGUAUUCUUUCCCCACGGGGAGAGCCAUUGGAAAGCCAAGCUAUGACACCAAGACAUUCCCUGGUCAACAGGGACUCAGAGUGGAAGGAGGUGACUGAAUGAUCCAAGAAUAUGCAUUAGCCUAAGCCUUACCCUCUCCCCCAUGGUCUUAUCCAUGGGAUCAAAACUGGGGAAGUCCAUUAGCCAAGGUUCUCUCUCCACUGAUAAUGCAUGGAUGGGCACUGCCAGAAUAUGAUUCUCAAACAUGCCUGUUUUCCAUGGAUGACUAACUCCCAACUUUCUGAUUAGUAUCUCUUCAUAUGAAUCCAACUUCUCCAGAGGACUCUAAUCCUCUUCAUGUAGUAGGCUUCCCUAGGCUUGCCUUGGUAGCCCCAAGCCUACCUGAAAUUACUUUCAAGAGACAAUUGUAACUCAGAGGCUGAGGUGGGAGGAUCGCUUGAGGCCAGGAGUCUGAGACCAGUCUGGGCAAUAUAGUAAAACUCUGUCUCUAAAAAAUAAAAAAGAGACAACAAAGAAAUACAAAAGAGCCCACCCCAGGACGUAAGCAUUAGCUAACCUUCUGAAAUCUCAUAACCCCAAAGUGAAUUGAAAUGUACCAGAGGGUAAUCCCCAAACACCAUCUACCUUUCUCUAACCACCUCGCCACCUGUGCAUGAUGCCCAUAUCUUGUAACCUUCUCGUAUACUGUGCAAACAUUCAUCAGAAAGCUUCCUUCCGCCCCGCCUUCCCCAAAGUGCCACCCGUACCACCAUCUGCGAACCAAAUAGCAAAGGAGGAGAUUAAGGAACCUGCAUCACAUCAAGCAAGUCUUCACAGUACUGUAUGCUUCAUGCAUUUAAGCUUUUAAAAUAAAGGAACUAGGCCAGGCACAGUGGCUCACACCUGUAAUCCCAACACUUUGGGAAGCUGAGGCGGGCAGAUCACUUGAGCACAGGAGUUUGAGAGCAGUCUGGCCAACAUGGUGAAACCCUGUCUCCACUAAAAAUACAAAAAUUAGCCGGGCGUGGUGGCACACACCUGUAAUCCCAGCUACUCAGGAGGCUGAGCAGGAGAAUCACUUAAACCUGGGAGGCGGAAGUUGCAGUGACUGGGGAUCAUGCCACUGCACUCCAGCCUGGGAGACAGAGCAAGACUCUAUCUCAACAAAAAAGAAAAAUUUUUAAAAAGGAACUAGAAGAAGGAAAAUUACAAUGGAGAGGCUCAGGAGCAGCGGUCUAGGGCAGCUGUCCUCAGAUGACCCAUCUGAGUGCAAUCGCUACCCAGGUACCAUCUGGAAUUUUUGCCUCCACUCCUCUCUCACCAGAGCGAUUCUUUGGUAACUAGGAACUAUGCCCUCACAUCUGUUGUUAUUAGUUGUCUUAACCAGACCCUAACAAGGAUUUUUUUUAGAGAAUUUUUGUUUUGUUUUGUAUGAAGAAAUCUUACUAAAUCUGACUAAAAUUAAAUUUUAAAACCUCCCAGAAGACUCUUCCGUGUUCCAUUUCCCAUGAGGCUUUACAAACCUGGCCCAAGAUGGGUGUGUGUGUGAGAGAGAGAGAGAGAGAAAAAAAAAAAAAGAGAAACGAGAGAGAGAGAGAGAGAAGUCAGGAACUAGAAGAGUGAGACCCACACUUGCCAUUUUUCUAAAACAAGGUUCAAGGCAACUUUCACUAUCAUAGUUAGCUACCCAUGGGUAAACUGUGUCUCCUCUUUUUUGCACCGUUGUUCACAUAAUGAUACAGAGGGUUUUGUUUUUGUACCACACAAAAAGUCUGUUUUCCCUUCUCCCUCUUUUAAUGAUAUUCUCCUGGCUGAAUUCUAGUGUCUUCCCAACCAUGAGUCAUCUCUGCUAUUCCUGCAUAAAGUAGAGUGUUCUGGGCCUCUCACUUCUAAGAAGGACUAUAGUUUAGAAAAAUCUGAUAAGAUGAUAAGAUCCCCACAGCACACGUCUCGCUCUGAGAUUAUUAGGGACUCAGUUUAGGGGAACCUUCCCUAUAGGGAGAUGGCAAAGGAAGCAGUUCCCCAAUCUAUCAGCAGUGGCUGCCAUCCACAUGAUAAGGAUCCCCUGCAAGGAAGUCUGACCCUGGGGGUUUCAGCCAGCUGGCACGGCCAGCAUCCAACAAGUCCCCAUCAGGGAGCAUCUUACCAGAAGGUCCCUGCUUACAUGGAGUGAAUCAAGGGUGAUAAAAAGUCCUCUCCCUACCAAAUAUAUCUUCCAUCCUUGGAGCAGCCCUUUCUCUUGAGGUUUGGUACUUUGUUGAAAUGCAAAUAUCCCUGAAAGGUAAAGACUUUUUUUUACCAUUAGCAUGUUUACACAAAUGUGCAUCCAGUCCCAUUCUUUCCUCAAAGCCAGUUUUGAUUGGAGGAGAAGGAAGUUUUUUAAAAAAUCACCUAUAUACAAAAGAGAGGUGAGGAUCAGAAGAUAUAUCUUCCUGGGCAUUAAUCCUAUUCUCUCGCCCAUUCCCAGCUAAGUGCAAGCCCUCGUUGACUUCAAAUAGCACCGGUAGCCCACCAGUUUUCCAUGUCAUCUGUGGAUUAUCUGAAGUGACAUUAAUCUGAACUCUCAACAAUAUCAAUCAUGCAAUAAUUCCUCAAACGUGUUGCACUCUGACGAUAGGCUGGCAAUAUUCUAGAUUUUGCACAGAGGACAAAGGAAACUGAGGAAGUCUAAUCCAUCCCAAGGUCAAGUGUCCAAUGUAUGGAUGAAGAUUGCCUAGGUUCAUAAUAUUGAUCAUAACGAAGAUGUUAAGGAAGGAUUUGGCAGUUAAUUCGCUUCAUUUGCUAUCCACCCUACAGUCCUAGGAAGUAUCUGUAUUCAUAAUUUAUAAAGCAGUUGAGGCCCAGGGUAGUGAAGUCAGGGCAGCCUCCAAAUUUAAUCAUCUAAAUCAUUAUGUACCCUGGGAGUUGUUUACAAUGUUUUCCUGGGAAGAUGUAUUUUUAAAGCAUCGGAUGACUCAGAAGCAUAGUCCAGCUGGAGGAAUACUGUUAGACAGCUCGGGGCAGCUUUCUCAGACAGCUUUUCAUUUGACCAUCACAAUUCGAGAAGGAAGGAUUUUGACAUUAUAAUUCCCAUUUUACAACUGAAGCAGCUUAGGCACAGAAAAAACAAUCCAGCUAAAAAGUAAAACAAAACAAAACAAAUCUUCUCUCUUUUUCCAUUUUAUUUCCUUUUCAUCUCUUACAAACAAACUAACGGAACUAUCAGAACUAAUUAUCUCAUGCACAAUCAUUUAUGACUCCACUGUUUGCAAAACCUCUUUUGGUCUUUGUACCAUCCACAUAAGAGCAAUCAAACAGCUCGCUAAAAAUCCUGUGAAACUACCCCCAAGACAUCACCUAUGACGCUUAAAUGUCUUCCUGCAUCACUUCAUUUUUGCCAUUAAAAAUAAUCAACAUUACACUUUGGGAGGCCGAGGCAGGCGGAUCACUUGAGGCCGGGAGUUCAAGACCAGCCUGGCCAACAUAGUGAAAGCCCGUCUCUGCUAAAAAUACAACAACAAAAAAAUUAGCCAGGCAUGGUGGUACACGUCUGUAAUCCCAGCUACUUGUGAGGCUGAGGCACAAGAAUCUCUUGAGCCCAGGAGGCAGAGGUUG